GAAUGCGAUCAUAACAACGUUAAUGCAUCGGAUCCCAUCAGAACUCUGCAGUUAAGCACGCUUGGGCUAGAGUAAUACUGGGAUGGGUGA
rnacentral:rRNA from 1 species